rnacentral:tRNA from 1 species
GCUCAGUUGGUUGAGUGUCCAACUCUUGAUCUCAGCUCAAGUCUUGAUUACAGGGUCAUGAGUUCAAGUCCCAUAUUGGGCU